rnacentral:rRNA from 1 species
ACGGAAGGCAGCAGUGGGGAAUUUUGCGCAAUGGGGGGAACCCUGGCGCAGCAACGCCGCGUGCGGGAUGAAGGCCUUCGGGUUGUAAACCGCUUUCAGCAGGGACGAUUAUGACGGUACCUGCAGAAGAAGCUCCGGCUAACUACGUGCCAGCAGCCGCGGUAAUACGUAGGGAGCGAGCGUUAUCCGGAUUCAUUGGGCGUAAAGCGCGCGUAGGCGGCUUGCUAAGCGGAACCUCUAAUCCGAGGGCUCAACCCCCGGCCGGGUUCCGAACUGGCAGGCUCGAGUGCGGUAGGGGCAAGUGGAAUUCCAUGUGUAGCGGUGGAAUGCGCAGAUAUAUGGAAGAACACCGAUGGCGAAGGCAGCUUGCUGGGCCGACACUGACGCUGAGGUGCGAAAGCGUGGGGAGCGAACAGGAUUAGAUACCCUGGUA